rnacentral:rRNA from 1 species
CAGCCCCUCGAGUGGUGGGGAUGAUUAUUUGGCCUAAAGCGUCCGUAGCCUGCCGGGUAAGUUUCCCGUUAAAUCCAGCGUCUCAAGCGUUGGACUGCGGGAAAUACUGCCUGGCUAGAGAGUGGGAGAGGUCAGCGGUAUUCUGGGGGUAGGGGCGAAAUCCUUUGAUCCCCGGAGGACCACCAGUGGCGAAGGCCGCUGACUAGAACACGUCUGACGGUCAGGGACGAAAGCUGGGGUAGCGAACCGGAUUAGAGACCCGAGUAGUCC